rnacentral:rRNA from 1 species
AAUCAACGCUGGCGGCGUGCCUCAGACAUGCAAGUCGAACGCGAAAGUUUCCUUCGGGAAGCGAGUAGAGUGGCGCACGGGUGAGUAACACGUAAGUAAUCUACCCUUGGGUGGGAAGUAACAUCGGAACCGAUGCUAAUACCGCAUAAUGCAGCGGCUUCAUAUGAAGACAGUUGUUAAAGUCAUUUAUGUGCCUGAGGAGGAGCUUGCGGCAGAUUAG